UCCCUGUGCUCAAUCCCUGCAGCAACCCUGGUUGUUUACGGUGGUGAUAGGGUUUUGGCUUUUGUUUUGAGAAGUCUGAAAUGCCAAUUGGUUUUGUGGUGUGGCCACAAUCUGCCAGGACUAGGCGCAUGCACCCAGCUGCCAGAGGUCCCCUGCCUGCCCCUGCCCUCCCUCUUCUAAGUGCCAGGACACCACAGACUGGACUGAUGCUGAAGACAUCCCUUUUCUUUGGUUUUUUUGUUUGUUUUGAGUUUAUACAAUCAUUAAGAAAUCUUUGGUUUUGGCUGGAAAAUUUAAAAAACAAAACAAAACAAAGAAACCACCCUCCCCUGGCUUAUAGCAGCAGUAUUAUGACCUGGCUAGGAUUCUGUUCAACUUUAAAGGUGGGAGCUGAAGGUUGAGAACUACAUUCAAAGAAAAGGUGAAAGGGCAGGGGAUGCAGCUUCUAGAGAGCCCGCUGGAUAUAAGAUUGUCAAAUAAUAAUAUUAAUAAUAAUAAACUUAAAUAUUUGAAUUUUUUUUUUCUUUUUGGUCAUGUCAAAGGAAAAAAGUGAAAUGUAUAUGCAGCAGUCAGUUUAAAAGAGCCUUUGGUGUCUUCCCUUCUGCCCCAAGUUCUGCAGAUACACAGAAGCCUGUGGCCUCCGAGAGGGCGGGGCAGGGGCAGCCCUGGAAGGCAUCAUGGCAGAGAGUGGAUGUGAUGAGAUCUCUAACAACCCCUUUGCAACAGAAAGGAACAGAAGAUUGCAAUUUGCCCUCGGAUUUGCAGUAGCUUUCAAGCAGUGACAUUCGGAGGCUUCAGAAGGUCCCACCCUCGGCUACAGGUCUCAAGAUGCUAUAGGCCAGAGUUCAACAGUACAGAGAGGAGGGAGGGCAGACUUGGCAACUCUGUAGGGCUGAGAGGAAGCUAAAGCAAGUGACGCAGUCACGAGUUAGAAAUGAGGUAUACAACAGCUCCUGGACUUGUGGUGGGCAGGAAAACCCACGCUUACUCACCUAGCCCUCGCCACUACCACAGAUGAGGGGGAUGGGGACGUCUCCCUGCAGCAAGACCUCCUGUGGCCUGGGUAAUGCACACUGCCCGUGCAAGCAGAGGUAAGAGGCUGCUACAAGUCUGUUCAUCUCCUUACCCUUUGGUUCUCAGAAACGACCACUUUUUCUGUUGUAGAAGUCGGUAUGAGAAAAUGGUUGCAAAGUGUCAUGAUUCCUCCUUUCAUUUCUCCACCCAGGCCGGAACGAGGCACUCCACUUAGGAGGUGACAUGCUUCUGCACGUCACGCAGGAAUGGAAAAAAAGCCAUGGCUCCCCCCAGCCACACAAGACCUCGGUGUUACAGGUCAAGAAAGAUCUGUGAGGAUGACCCAUCUUGGGAGCAAUGGCAAAUUAUGAACUACAGAGUUUCUCUGCAAGCCAAGUGUUCACUGCCUACUACUUGAAAUGUUUUCUGCUGGGAUUCCUAACCUUAAAAACUGACACAAAUUCCUUAUAUUUGCAGGUGCAUCUAGCUUUUCCAGAAAGUUAAACAUAAUUUUAUAAUAAAGAGUGGGUUGCAUUUAAAAAUUGUGUCAAACAAAUAUCUGUGCUUUCAGAUCAUAUAUUUUCCUCUUCCCAAAUACAUGAAGAUUAAUAGACAAACUAACAUUAAAAAGAGGUAUAACUGUGCUUUUCCCCCCAAGAACAAAUGAAAAAUUGGCAAGAUGAGCUCACUAAAAAUCUUUCAAUGGAUAUUUUCCCUUUUAAAAAUAUUAAUUUCUAAUAAUGCUACCAUGAAGUGUAAACAGGUGUGGUUCUAUGCAAAAUGAAAGUUGAAUUCCUUUGGUUCCAUUCUUGAGUGACAAACUGAAUAAAUUGGGAUGGUUUUGACCUUUCUGACAACAACUAAAAGGGAGUGUGUAUAAUAUCACUUAAUGGGUAUAAGUAAUUCUUUCUUAGUUUAAAAAGCUGCCUUUUGAACCUCAGAAACAUUUCAACUAAUACAGCUUAUUUCAAUUUAUUUCCUUUAAACUCAUUUCUUAGAAUAAUAUUAUUUCUGUGAGAAGCCCUUUUUUAGAUCUUUCUGUUCUGUUUUUCAGAUUUAUAUAGGGUAUAAAUAAAGUUCAUGACCAAACUGCAUCGCUUAUGCUAAGCAGGGUUUAUAAUUACAUUCACUACUCCCUUAGGAGGGCCCAUUAUCAUGGGCAAAUACAGUAUUACUAUAAAUGCAUUUAAAAUUAGUCUUUGGCUUAACAUGUGUUAACCAAAUUCAGGGAGGAAAUAAAACUUGCAUAAACACUAAUGGUAAGAAAAAAAGAAAGUAACAAGAACUGUAACAACUACCUGGCCUUUCUUCCAAAUAUAAGGACUCUACCAAAGAACUCUUUUUGGUCAAAUGACCCCUUGAGUUUCCACACUCCCCUCUAACAGGUGGCUGAAAGUUAGGUCUGAGUACCUUAGCUUAGGAGAUAGUUCAUUCAAUUCAAAAAGUAUUUCUCAAGAUGAUAAAAAAAAAAAAAAAAAAAAAAA